GUACUCCAAAUAACCUUACAUGAUACUCCAUGACAACUUGAAGAGCUUGACCAUUGGAAAAUCUUUGAUAUUUUUCAAUUUGCUUGAAUACCCAUGCUCGAAGCUUGUAAAUUGACAUAAAGUAGAUAGAAAGAGAGGUGAGUUCGAAGUUAAUUGAUGUUAACUUCCUCCCAAGAGACAAGAAUUUGUUUUUUUAUGUUGCCAAUCUAGCUUUAACCCUUUGAAUUAAGACAAUCCACUCAGCUUUAGUAGGUUUACCUUCAUACAGAAGAAGCCCAAGGUAUUUGAUUGGAAGAGAUGAGCAGCUACAAUUUAGUCAACUACCCAUCUUGUUGUAACCAUGCCGUCUUGUCCAAAGUCUUCUUAAGCGAAACAAUUUUCGGACAUACUCCUUUGCUUUUUUUUUCUAUUUUCUUGUUUUGCGAGGGAUGAUAUAUCUUAUCGGACGUGUGGAUAUGUUGGCCUAAACGCUGCAUUAGGCUUGCGACGUGUCUCCUAAAGGGCUAAGCCCACUACACCAUCCCAUCCGAUAAGGAGUCAGCACCGUAGGUGAUUUCCUUCCAUCUUCUCUCUAUUUCCCCCUC
rnacentral:lncRNA from 1 species